rnacentral:rRNA from 1 species
AAUGCCUAGGAAUCUGCCUGGUAGUGGGGGAUAACGUUCGGAAACGGACGCUAAUACCGCAUACGUCCUACGGGAGAAAGCAGGGGACCUUCGGGCCUUGCGCUAUCAGAUGAGCCUAGGUCGGAUUAGCUAGUUGGUGAGGUAAUGGCUCACCAAGGCGACGAUCCGUAACUGGUCUGAGAGGAUGAUCAGUCACACUGGAACUGAGACACGGUCCAGACUCCUACGGGAGGCAGCAGUGGGGAAUAUUGGACAAUGGGCGAAAGCCUGAUCCAGCCAUGCCGCGUGUGUGGAGAAGGUCUUCGGAUUGUAAAGCACUUUAAGUUGGGAGGAAGGGUUGUAGAUUAAUACUCUGCAAUUUUGACGUUACCGACAGAAUAAGCACCGGCUAACUCUGUGCCAGCAGCCGCGGUAAUACAGAGGGUGCAAGCGUUAAUCGGAAUUACUGGGCGUAAAGCGCGCGUAGGUGGUUUGUUAAGUUGGAUGUGAAAUCCCCGGGCUCAACCUGGGAACUGCAUUCAAAACUGACUGACUAGAGUAUGGUAGAGGGUGGUGGAAUUUCCUGUGUAGCGGUGAAAUGCGUAGAUAUAGGAAGG